CCUACGGGAGGCAGCAGUGGGGAAUAUUGGACAAUGGGCGAAAGCCUGAUCCAGCGACGCCGCGUGGGUGAAGAAGGCCUGCGGGUUGUAAAGCCCUUUCGGUAGGGACGAAAGCUCUCGACCUAACACGUCGGGAGGUUGACUUAACCUACAAAAGAAGCACCGGCUAACUCUGUGCCAGCAGCCGCGGUAAUACAGAGGGUGCGAGCGUUAAUCGGAAUUACUGGGCGUAAAGCGCACGUAGGCGGCUUGGUAUGUCGGGUGUGAAAUCCCCGGGCUCAACCUGGGAACUGCAUCCGAAACUGCCUUGCUCGAGUAUGGGAGAGGGAAGUGGAAUUUCCGGUGUAGCGGUGAAAUGCGUAGAUAUCGGAAGGAACAUCAGUGGCGAAGGCGACUUCCUGGACCAAUACUGACGCUCAGGUGCGAAAGCGUGGGGAGCAAACAGGAUUAGAUACCCUGGUAGUCCACGCCCUAAACAAUGGGCACUAGGUGUUGCGGGUAUUGACCCCUGCAGUGCCGCAGCUAACGCAUUAAGUACUCCGCCUGGGAAGUACGGUCGCAAGACUAAAACUCAAAGGAAUUGACGG
rnacentral:rRNA from 1 species